rnacentral:tRNA from 1 species
ACCCUCGUGGCACAAUGGUUAAGCACUCGACUGCUAAUCAAAAGGUUGGCGGGUCAAGCCCGCCCAGGGGCU